CCCCAGUCCCCAAAGCAAAACUCUUCUCCUAAAAAAAAAAAAAAAGAAAAAGUUCUAAAAAUCCCAAUCUGAGGUUCUCCUACAGCUGGUUUGUGCUUGUUCCCUGCAGAUAGCGGCGAAGAGGACCAGCACCUCAGAGUUCCUGGGAAACGUGGACGUGGACGGAGCCCAGGGCCCGGUCACCCCCACAGGGACAGGUCACCUGGUGCUGAGCACGGAGACCCUGAGAUUUUGAAGGAUGAACUUCAGCUCUAUGGAGGUGAGGGGUUGUCCAGAACCUUUGGAGAGAACAGAAUCAGGAGGACCUGAGG
rnacentral:lncRNA from 1 species